CCGAGAGACGGGCCCCUUCGGGGGCCUUCCCUCCCACCCGGUGUUUAAACCGUACCUCUGUUGCUUCGGCGGGCCGUGCCUCUGGCACCGUCGGCCCCCGUCCGGGGGCGGGCGCGCGCCCGCCGAAGGCCCCCUCCAACCCGCGCAUGUCGAUGCAAUCUGAACUUUUGCAAGAAAAUCGCAAA
rnacentral:misc_RNA from 1 species